ACAGCUGGGUGGACUGAGACAAAGCAGAUGAAGUAUCCUGUCCAAGGAGACAAGCUGGGUAGCAGGGAAAAGUAGUUGGACCACCAAUAUGUAGACUUGACUGUGGACAAUCUCAGUCAUCCAGGUCACGGUAUCCAAGCAGGUUGAGUCAGGUCACCUGGACUUGUUUAGUUUCUUGAAGACGUUUGACU